UACGUAGGGGGCAAGCGUUGUCCGGAUUUACUGGGCGUAAAGAGCGUGUAGGCGGCCAAACAGGUCCGUUGUGAAAACUGGAGGCUUAACCUCCAGACGUCGACGGAAACCGUAUGGCUAGAGUCCGGAAGAGGAGAGUGGAAUUCCUGGUGUAGCGGUGAAAUGCGCAGAUAUCAGGAAGAACACCAAUUGCGAAGGCAGCUCGCUGGGACGUUACUGACGCUGAGACGCGAAAGCGUGGGGAGCGAACAGG
rnacentral:rRNA from 1 species